rnacentral:rRNA from 1 species
GAUGAACGCUGGCGGCGUGCCUAAUACAUGCAAGUCGAGCGAACGGACGAGAAGCUUGCUUCUCUGAUGUUAGCGGCGGACGGGUGAGUAACACGUGGAUAACCUACCUAUAAGACUGGGAUAACUUCGUGAAACCGGAGCUAAUACCGGAUAAUAUUUUGAACCGCAUGGUUCAAAAGUGAAAGACGGUCUUGCUGUCACUUAUAGAUGGAUCCGCACUGCAUUAGCUAGUUGGUAAGGUAACGGCUUACCAAGGCAACGAUGCAUAGCCGACCUGAGAGGGUGAUCGGCCACACUGGAACUGAGACACGGUCCAGACUCCUACGGGAGGCAGCAGUAGGGAAUCUUCCGCAAUGGGCGAAAGCCUGACGGAGCAACGCCGCGUGAGUGAUGAAGGUCUUCGGAUCGUAAAACUCUGUUAUUAGGGAAGAACAUAUGUGUAAGUAACUGUGCACAUCUUGACGGUACCUAAUCAGAAAGCCACGGCUAACUACGUG